ACCAAAUAUGCUCCUUCCUAAAAUUUUGAGUUAUAUAUACUCUAAGUCUCUUACCACAUCAAAUAUGAACAUGAUACAUUUCUAAACAUCUGAAAAGUGCAACAACGCAAAUAUGUGUUAUUGGGUGAAGUGUAACAAUAACUUAUUGAAAAGGAAACGAGUUAAUUAGAGCAUGAAAAGCAUUUCUAGUUGUUCUUGUGUGAGUGCCACCAAAUCUGCACAUUCCAUGUAUAAAUUAUCUAGGUACCAGAG
rnacentral:lncRNA from 1 species